UAGGGAAUCUUCCGCAAUGGGCGAAAGCCUGACGGAGCAACGCCGCGUGAGUGAUGAAGGUCUUCGGAUCGUAAAACUCUGUUAUUAGGGAAGAACAAAUGUGUAAGUAACUAUGCACGUCUUGACGGUACCUAAUCAGAAAGCCACGGCUAACUACGUGCCAGCAGCCGCGGUAAUACGUAGGUGGCAAGCGUUAUCCGGAAUUAUUGGGCGUAAAGCGCGCGUAGGCGGUUUUUUAAGUCUGAUGUGAAAGCCCACGGCUCAACCGUGGAGGGUCAUUGGAAACUGGAAAACUUGAGUGCAGAAGAGGAAAGUGGAAUUCCAUGUGUAGCGGUGAAAUGCGCAGAGAUAUGGAGGAACACCAGUGGCGAAGGCGACUCUCUGGUCUGUAACUGACGCUGAGGCUCGAAAGCGUGGGUAGCAAACAGG
rnacentral:rRNA from 1 species